UACGGAGGGUGCAAGCGUUAUCCGGAUUCACUGGGUUUAAAGGGUGCGUAGGCGGGGAGGUAAGUCAGUGGUGAAAUCUUCGAGCUUAACUCGGAAACUGCCUUUGAUACUAUCUAUCUUGAAUAUUGUGGAGGUAAGCGGAAUAUGUCAUGUAGCGGUGAAAUGCUUAGAUAUGACAUAGAACACCUAUUGCGAAGGCAGCUUACUACGCAUAUAUUGACGCUGAGGCACGAAAGCGUGGGGAUCAAACAGG
rnacentral:rRNA from 1 species